UACGUAGGUGGCGAGCGUUGUCCGGAUUUACUGGGCGUAAAGAGCGCGCAGGCGGUCGUACAAGUCGCGUGUGAAAGCCCCCGGCUCAACUGGGGAGGGUCACGCGAUACUGUUCGACUCGAAGGCAGGAGAGGGUAGUGGAAUUCUCGGUGUAGCGGUGAAAUGCGUAGAUAUCGAGAGGAACACCUGCGGCGAAGGCGGGUUGCUGGGCUGAUACUGACGCUGAGGCGCGAAAGCCUGGGGAGCGAACGGG
rnacentral:rRNA from 1 species